UUUUAUUCCAAAUAAACAAAUAUGAUAUGAUUAAAAUUAUAUAAUAUGAUUGAUCAUUAAAAAAAAAACCGAAAUUUUUCAGUUUUUCUUCCCGAUUACCGUUCCAAGGUGUACAGGUAUCCAAUAUAGUACGAUCGAUCACCGAUUAUAGCUCGGGAUAGGCAUGGUGUACAAUGUUGCACUCUAUUGGUUGGUUACAUAUCGCAACAUUAUACGUAUAUGCGGCCGGGGCAUCAAGUUGCAGGCUGCAAUGUGUAUACGCGUUUAAUUAAUUCGCCCGUACACGCGCCAUAUGAAUCUCAUUCCCGUGUAGUUCGGUGAAUUUCCCAAACGAACUACAGAUUAAGAUCAAGGAUGAUAUGGAUGAUGUAAUAACAACGAGUCAAUUUUAUACGUUUAAUUGGGACAAUUUAACAUGCAUUUAUGACCAGAAUCGAUUUCACUCACGUUAAUUAUCGAAGGAAUUAUCGAAUGAAUUAAGCGAAACAAACGAUCGAAAAGAAAAAGAAAAUUCUAUUCACAUCCCACGAAAGUGGCAAAAUGACAAUCAUUCUAUAAAUCUUAACCGUAUAUCGUAAUGCGGGUGGAGACCAUUAUCCACGAGCGCAAAGCUGUGCACACCAAGGAAACAAAUAAAGAAACAAGAGAGAGAAGAAUAAAGAAAGAAUAAAGAACGGCUUGGACAAGGCGCAUCGCGUACGCGCGCGUAGCUCGUGUCCGGUCAGCCGUUAAGAAGGAAGCUCCAGGCCGAUGUCGAAGAUAAGAGCGGGGACGUGUCCCUCUGUGCGUGGCAUUCUCGUGGAGAGAAGUGGUACCGAAGUUCGGGGACCAAGUGUGCCAGGCCCUCACGUAAUCCACGGAUACGUCGCGACGAAUUUGAGAGAAGCCACGAACUGGGUCCCUCUAUCUUCAAAAUGGCUACCGUCUCCGCAUCGGUGGGCAGCCGAUGUAAACUACAAACGCUCCUCUCGAGCACAACGCUCCCCUCGAUCGCGUCGCCGGUUUUUUGGAUUUCUUCGAAGUGGCACGCUCGGAGAAGACGUCGAUGAAUUUUGAAUACGUACUGGAUGAUAUAGAGUGGUUCACUAAAUCGAUGCGAUUGAAGAUAGGCUCUUUUUUUUAAUCGAUACGAUAGAUGAUUUAUGACAUUGAAUUUAGAAAAUUGAAAUUUUGCUUUGUCCAUCAUUCACCGAGGAAUCUUCCAUUUGUUUCCAUAAAGAAACUUCUAAAAGAAAAGAUAAUUUUUUUAUUUUAUAUAGCGUCAAGAUUGAAUUCAAAUUUCCUUGUCUUAUUUCCAAAAAUUGAAUCGACUCUUCUUCUAAUAUUGCGUAAUGCAUCAUGUUACAUUUCUUCAAUCCUCCGUCAAUCGGAUAAAAAUUAUUUCAACGAAACCUGUAUAUGCAUAUAUGAUAUCGAAUCGAAAUCCUAAAUAUCAUUGGUAGCAUCGUGGUAUUCGCGAAUGAUCGGAAAAUCUGUCUAUCGUUAAGAAGGAAGAGGGCGAGUUAGAAUGAAACGAUUCGUGAAAGGGGGAGUGACAAAGAGAAGGAGUAGGGAGGGAGUCGAUGAGAGAGAGAAAGAGAGAGAAAGGAGAUCACGGAGCUCGUGUUUCCGGCCGGGUGAACAACAAUGCCCGCAGACAAAUGAGCAUCCCGCCUCCAUUGUUCGCUUCAUCGGCACGGCGCAGCCUCUCUCUCCCCUGUUACCCACCCUGGUUCCGCUUACGCCCCCCUAUCCUUCCCCCAUUCUUGUUUCUCCUUGUCCCUCCCUUUACCUCGUAAAUCGAAAGCCCACGUCCUCGUCCUCGUCGUCCUCGUCCUCGUCCUGGUUCUCGUCCUCCAUCGUCAUCAUCGUCAUCGUCGUCGUCGUCGUCGUCGUCGUCCAACAGCCAGGCUGGGGGGUCCUCGAUCAACCUGAUGCGGGCCAACACCGAUUAAACAUCACUGCUUCGUCGAAUCUCCGUCAACGUGGGCCCCCUCCACGAGUCCCUCCUCACGAAGAGUGAACGGUCAUCCAGUAUGAAUUUUUGGAUACACGACUGACAAUAAGAAGGUAACGCGAGAGACUCGAAGGGCCAGAUGUGCAAGGAUUCAACAUCUUCGAGCCCAUUCAUGGCUCCCGUGGCAGAACACCUUACUCGAACCACGUCGACCUCCUGCACCACAGAAAUUCGAUACUGCUCGGAACCUCGGCCAGUGUAUAAUGUCUUGCUUAUAUAUUAUAUAUAUAUAUACUUAUUUUAUUUUGUUCUAAUUUCUAAUUCUAUCGAACAGUUAAACAUGAAUAAAGUUUACUUUAUAUUGAGUAUAUUAUUGAUAGUUUCUCUACAAUUUAUGUAUUCAUAGAUAUUGUAUAUGACAAUCUA
rnacentral:lncRNA from 1 species